rnacentral:misc_RNA from 1 species
UCCCAGUUAACCCGGGCAGUCUCGCUAGAGUUCCCACCUAAAAUGUUGGCAACUAACGAUAAGGGUUGCGCUCGUUGCGGGACUUAACCCAACACCUCACGGCACGAGCUGACGACAGCCAUGCAGCACCUGUGCAGCGGUCCCGAAGGAAGACGCCAUCUCUGGCGCUGUCCACUGCAUGUCAAGCCUGGGUAAGGUUCUUCGCGUUGCAUCGAAUUAAACCACAUGCUCCACUGCUUGUGCGGGUCCCCGUCAAUUCUUUUGGGUUUCGGCCUUGCGACUGUACUCCCCAGGCGGUAUACUUAACGCGUUAGCUCCGGCACAGCCAGGGUUGAUUCCAGCUACACCAAGUAUACAUAGUUUACGGCAAGGACUAC